GGGACCCCGGCUUGGGCCUCGGGCGGUGUGCUGGGUGCGAUCCUUCCGGCGUGAGUGGUGGCGAGUAGCGACGGCGUGGCCACGGUGCGUCUCCGACGCACAGUCCCCGGCACCGACCUUGAUUACGCGCUUACGUCUUGCCCUGCGCUUCUGCUCUUCCCCUCCUGACGCUGGGGCUCUUUCCCCAGCUCAGAGAUUAAGAUGCCCUCAGGGGCGGGGACGUUCGUGCAGCCGCAGCCUCCGGAGCAGAGGUGGGACGCGAACCUGUCCUGCCACCCCUCCUAGCUUGUGUUGGCACUCUGGCCUCCUGGCAUGUCUAAAUAAGCCUUUGAAGAAAGUAUUGAAGCCAAGGAGAUGCUGGCUUCCCUCCUUAAUGUAGAUUCCAGGGGAAUGUGGAUCUUCACCUCAUUCUGACCUGUGUCUGGGCAGGCAGCAAGUAAAGAGAGUUUAGCAGAUGUCUUCCCCAUGGGAACUCCGUGGCCCCAGGUGUUCGAGAGCCACAAACUGAGAUGCACAGACUUCAUCCCAGUGUGUAAAGCAAGAGCUGAUGUUUAUGGAGCAUCUGUUACAUGCUGGACAUGGUCACAGGAGCUCUACAGACGUAAUCUCAUCUAAUCCGUGUGUCCGCUCUGCACUUGGAGCUAUGGCAGUCCUUCCAUCCCAGACGAGGCAGAGGUAAAGCUUACCUAGUUAAGCAGCGGUGGAGCCAGGAUUUGAGACAAUGAUUUUGAUAUACCCCUGCGGAGAACCAAAUUCAUCCUAGUUUAUAUUUGUUAUGGAAUGAAUGUUUUUGUCCCUCCAAAAUAGAAUUAAGACAGAAAUUCUGGUCAAAGUAUAAAUUUGUCCUUUAAACCUGUGUUGGUUGCACUCACUGAUAACCGCCUAGACAGAAGACCAGAACUAAAUUAGCCAGGGCGUGGUUGCUACACAGACUUGCUAACUUCUGUACACUCAGCCUUGAGGAGAGGACGAUGAGAUGGAAGGACCCCACAGCUAACCAGGAGGCCUUGUGAAACAGGAAGAUGUAGGGCAGCUUUGAAAAUGCUGGUGUCAGUGGAAACCUUAUUUGAACAAAUAAUAAAGGAGAACUUCCCCAAUCUGGCAAAGGAAAUAGACUUCCAGGAAAUCCAGGAAGCUCAGAGAGUCCCAAAGAAGUUGGACCCAAGAAGAAACACACCAAGGCACAUCAUCAUUAUAUAAGCCAAGAUUAAAAUGAAGAAGAGAAUCCUAGAAGCGGCAAGAGAUAAGGGGACCGUCACCUACAAAGGAGUUCCCAUCAGACUGUCAGCGGAUUUCUCAAGAGACCCUACAGGCAAGAAGGGGCUGGAAAGAGGUAUUCCAAGUCAUGAAAUCCAAAGACCUACAUCCAAGAUUGCUCUAUCCAGCAAAGUUUUCAUUUAGAAUGGAAGGGCAGAUAAAGUGCUUCUCAGAUAAGAUCAAAUUCAAGGAGUUCAUCAUCACCAAGUCAUUAUAUGAAAUGUUAAAGGGACUUAUCUAAGAAGAGGAAGAUCAAAUGAGCAGUAAAAUGACAACAAACUUACAACUACCAACAAAUGAACUAAAAGAAAGGAAAAACAAUGAAAAGAAAAAUUAAGCAAACAACCAGAACAGGAACAGAAUAGGAGAAAUGGCCAUCACUCAGAGGGAUUUCAGUGGGGAUGGGGAAGGGAGGAAAGCAGGGGAAGGUACAAGGAAUAAGAAGCAUAAUUAGUAGGCAUAAUUAGAUGGGGAGAGAUAAAAAUGAUAUAGGAAACAGAGGACUGGAAGAACUUAUAUGUACAACCCAUGGACAUGAACUA